GGGUGGGGAGCCUGGAGAGGCCCCGAGGGGGCGGCUGUGAAGAGGCUCCCUGCCGCGGGGUACACACA
rnacentral:snoRNA from 1 species